rnacentral:lncRNA from 10 species
GUGCCACUACCGCCUCACUAAUUCUUUUUUUGUAUUUUUAGUAGAGAUGGGAUUUCACCAUGUUGGCCAGGCUGGUCUCGAACUCCUGACCUCAAAUGAUUCCCCUGCUUCAGCUUCCCAAAAUGCUGGGAUUACAGGUGUGAGCCACUGUGCCAGGCCUAUGUUAGGCUUUGGAUUAGCUUAGUGGAUUCUAAAUUAAUAGCACCUCAUACUUGGAGUGGUUUAUAGAUAUAUAUGUAUGUAGUUUGUUAAUAGUUUUAUUGAGAUAUAAUUUACAUACCAUGUAAUUCACCCAUUUGAAGUAUAUGAUUUGAUGGUUUUUAGCAUAUUCAGUUGUACAACCAUCCCCAUAGUCAAUUUUAGAACAUUUUCAUCACCCAGAAAGAGACCUUGUACCCUCUAGCCAUAAACAUCACCUCUUCUAUCCCUUCAUCCAUAGCCAACCACAAAUCUACUUUGUAUAUCUAUGGAUUUGGAUGUCUAUUCUGAACAUUUCAUAUACAUGGAAUCAUACAAUAUGUGGCCUUUUGUGACUGGUUUCUUUUACUCAGCAUAAUGUUCUCAAGGUUUAUCCAUAUUAUGUUGUAGCAUGUAUC